rnacentral:rRNA from 1 species
CCUACGGGAGGCAGCAGUGGGGAAUAUUGGGCAAUGGGCGCAAGCCUGACCCAGCAACGCCGCGUGAAGGAAGAAGGCUUUCGGGUUGUAAACUUCUUUUAUGAGGGACGAAGAAAGUGACGGUACCUCAGGAAUAAGCCACGGCUAACUACGUGCCAGCAGCCGCGGUAAUCCGUAGGUGGCAAGCCUUAUCCGGAUUGAUUGGGUGUAAAGGGCUUGGAGGCGGGAUAGCAAGUCAGAUGUGAAAUCUCAGGGCUCAACCCUGAGCCUGCAUUUGAAACUGUUCUGCUGGAGUGCUGGAGAGGCAAGCGGAAUUCCGAGUGUAGCGGUGAAAUGCGUAGAUAUAAGGAGGAACACCAGUGGCGAAGGCGGAUUGCUGGACAGUAACUGACGUUGAGGCGCGAAAGCGUGGGGAGCAAACAGGAUUAGAUACCCGGGUAGUC